CUGACUUAUCUGCCCAUGUGUCUAUUUAACCCAUUGAGUCGCAUUGCGCCCUGAUGCACCAUACUUUAUUAUUUUACUCUGUCUAAUGCCAGACGAUUUUACUCGUCAAGGGGAGAGUGCUGGCGAUUAAUGGGUUAACAAGAUUUAUUUAAAAUGUCAGAAGCCCUGGGGGUGGGCACUUUUGAAUGCAUUAUUAUUGUGAUGAUAUCAUUCCAACUCUUCAUCAUCCUCAAAACCUUUGAAGUCUUUUCCACCAAAAGCUUGUCGUAUGGCAUGAUAAGCACAUGCUGGUAAAGGUAUUCUUCUCUUUCCCAAGUAUCCAUAAACCAA